UGGCCUAUGGCGUAAACGGCGAACGUGUCCGGCUGUUAACCGGAAGUUCUUGGUUCGAAUCCAGGUGGGCCAGC
rnacentral:tRNA from 1 species